rnacentral:tRNA from 4 species
UGCCCCUUGGUGUAACUGGCAACACGCCUGACUCUGGAUCAGGAGAGUCCUGGUUCGAUCCCAGGAGGGGCAAUCA